CAAUCCGAUCAGCCAAUAGUAGCGCACAAGCCGGAAAACAGAUUAUGGAUCCUACAAUGUAUAGUGCUAUUGUAACCUACAAAACAGGCGGUGGAGAUCCUCUGGGAUUAUCCAAGGACCAGAAGUCAAAUUCUCGGAAAAAAAACUGCUAUUUUUGACAUUGAAGAUAGUCAGCUCUACUACAGAAGAUACAAAGGAACUGCCCGUGAACUGAGAUUAAAGGUUGGCUGUGGUGCAGAGGAUGCAAAUAAAUGCUUUAUAGAGUUUCACGCUAGCAGCAUUGGUGCACAUUGUGGACAAAAUAAACCCAAAGAUGCCAUAUCCAAAAGGUUUUACUGGCCAGGGAUGUCCGAGGAUCUUGACAAAUGGGUGGCUGAAUGUGUGGCAUGUCAGGCCACUAAAGCAUCAAUUAAAGAAGAGGUCAAAAUUACACCUAUACAGGUAAUCUAUC